GGUUGAUCCUGCCAGUGGUCAUAUGCUUGUCUCAAAGAUUAAGCCAUGCAUGUCUAAGUACAUGCCUUUGCACGGUGAAACCGCGAAUGGCUCAUUAAAUCAGUUAUGAUUUCUUAGAUCGUUCAUAUUACAUGGAUAACUGUGGUAAUUCUAGAGCUAAUACAUGCAAAAGCUCCGACCGUAUGGGAAGAGCGCUUUUAUUAGACCAUAACCAAUGGGGUGGCAACAUCCCUUUGAUUGGUGACUCUGGAUAACCUUGUGCUGAUCGCAUGGCCUCGAGCCGGCGACGUAUCUUUCAAGUGUCUGCCCUAUCAACUUUCGAUGGUAAGCGACUUGCCUACCAUGGUUGUAACGGGUAACGGGGAAUCAGUUCGAUUCCGGAGAGGGAGCAUGAGAAAUGGCUACCACAUCUACGGAAGGCAGCAGGCGCGCAAAUUACCCACUCCUAGCACGGGGAGGUAGUGACGAAAAAUAACAAUACCGGACUCUUAGAGGCUCGGUAAUUGAAAUGAGUACAGUUUAAAACCCUUAACGAGGAUCUAUUGGAGGGCAAGUCUGGUGCCAGCAGCCGCGGUAAUUCCAGCUCCAAUAGCGUAUAUUAAAGUUGUUGCAGUUAAAAAGCUCGUAGUUGGAUCUCGGGCACCAGCAUGUGGUACGCUUGAUUGCUGUUACUACAUGUCUGGUCCUAAUUCGUCGGUUGGCUGUUGAUGUCCUUCACUGGGUGUCUUCAGUAGCCGGCACGUUUACUUUGAGAAAAUUAGAGUGCUUAAAGCAGGCCUUAUGCCUGAAUACUGUUGCAUGGAAUAAUAGAAUAGGACCUCGGUUCUAUUUUGUUGGUUUUGUAGAGCAUUGAGGUAAUGAUUAAUAGGGACAGACGGGGGCAUUUGUACUGCGGUGUUAGAGGUGAAAUUCUUGGAUCGCCGCAGGACAAACAACUGCGAAAGCAUUUGCCAAGAAUGUUUUCAUUAAUCAAGAACGAAAGUUGGAGGUUCGAAGACGAUUAGAUACCGUCCUAGUUCCAACCAUAAAUGAUGCCAAUUUGGAAUCAGCCUUAGUUAAUUAAACGACUAGGCUGGCACCAUCCGGGAAACCAAAAUGUUUGGGUUCCGGGGGAAGUAUUUGCAAAGCUGAAACUUAAAGGAAUUGACGGAAGGGCACCACCAGGAGUGGAGCCUGCGGCUUAAUUUGACCCAACACGGGAAAUCUCACCCGGCCCGGACACUGUAAGGAUUGACAGAUUGAUAGCUCUUUCUUGAUUCGGUGGGUGGUGGUGCAUGGCCGUUCUUAGUUGGUGGAGCGAUUUGUCUGGUUAAUUCCGAUAACGAACGAGACUCUAGCCUGCUAAAUAGUACGCCGAUCUUUAG
rnacentral:rRNA from 1 species